rnacentral:rRNA from 1 species
GACGAACGCUGGCGGCGUGCCUAAUACAUGCAAGUCGAACGCAGUGGGGACGGGGGAUUAACACGUGGGUAACCUCCCAUCAGAGGGGAUAACACUUGGAAACAGGUGCUAACCCGAUACGGAUGGAUGGACCCGGGUGGCAUUAGCUAGUUGGUGGGGUAACGGCUUACCAAGGCCCCGAUGCAUAGCGGACCUGAGAGGGUGACCGGCCACACUGGGACUGAGCCACGGCCCAGACUCCUACGGGAGGCAGCAGUAGGGAAUCUUAGGCAAUGGACGAAAGCCUGACCGAGCCACGCCGCGUGAGUGAAGAAGGUUUUCGGAUCGUAAAACUCUGUUGUUAGAGAAGCGGUAUCUAACCAGAAAGCCACGGCUAACUACGUGCCAGCAGCCGCGGUAAUAC